GUAGGUGGCAAGCGUUGUCCGGAAUUAUUGGGCGUAAAGCGCGCGCAGGGCGGUCCUUUAAGUCUGAUGUGAAAGCCCACGGCUCAACCGUGGAGGGUCAUUGGAAACUGGGGGACUUGAGUACAGAAGAGGAAAGCGGAAUUCCAAGUGUAGCGGUGAAAUGCGUAGAGAUUUGGAGGAACACCAGUGGCGAAGGCGGCUUUCUGGUCUGUAACUGACGCUGAGGCGCGAAAGUGUGGGGAGCAAACAGGAUUAGAUACCCUGGUAGUCCACGCCGUAAACGAUGAGUGCUAAGUGUUAGGGGGGUUUCCGCCCCUUAGUGCUGCAGCUAACGCAUUAAGCACUCCGCCUGGGGAGUACGGCCGCAAGGCUG
rnacentral:rRNA from 1 species